GGGUUGUGAGGUUAAGCGACUAAGCGUACACGGUGGAUGCCCUGGCAGUCAGAGGCGAUGAAGGACGUGCUAAUCUGCGAAAAGCGUCGGUAAGGUGAUAUGAACCGUUACAGCCGGCGAUGUCCGAAUGGGGAAACCCAGUGCAAUUCGUUGCACUAUCGUUAACUGAAUACAUAGGUUAACGAGGCGAACCGGGGGAACUGAAACAUCUAAGUACCCCGAGGAAAAGAAAUCAACCGAGAUUCCCCCAGUAGCGGCGAGCGAACGGGGAGCAGCCCAGAGUCUGAAUCAGCUUGUGUGUUAGUGGAACGGUCUGGAAAGUCCGACGGUACAGGGUGAUAGUCCCGUACACCAAAAUGCACAGGCUGUGAACUCGAAGAGUAGGGCGGGACACGUGGUAUCCUGUCUGAAUAUGGGGGGACCAUCCUCCAAGGCUAAAUACUCCUGACUGACCGAUAGUGAACCAGUACCGUGAGGGAAAGGCGAAAAGAACCCCGGCGAGGGGAGUGAAAAAGAACCUGAAACCGUGUACGUACAAGCAGUGGGAGCACCUUCGGGUGUGACUGCGUACCUUUUGUAUAAUGGGUCAGCGACUUAUAUUCUGUAGCAAGGUUAACCGUAUAGGGGAGCCGCAGGGAAACCGAGUCUUAACUGGGCGUUAAGUUGCAGGGUAUAGACCCGAAACCCGGUGAUCUAGCCAUGGGCAGGUUGAAGGUUGGGUAACACUAACUGGAGGACCGAACCGACUAAUGUUGAAAAAUUAGCGGAUGACUUGUGGCUGGGGGUGAAAGGCCAAUCAAACCGGGAGAUAGCUGGUUCUCCCCGAAAGCUAUUUAGGUAGCGCCUCGUGAACUCAUCUUCGGGGGUAGAGCACUGUUUCGGCUAGGGGGUCAUCCCGACUUACCAACCCGAUGCAAACUACGAAUACCGAAGAAUGUUAUCACGGGAGACACACGGCGGGUGCUAACGUCCGUCGUGAAGAGGGAAACAACCCAGACCGCCAGCUAAGGUCCCAAAGUCACAGUUAAGUGGGAAACGAUGUGGGAAGGCACAGACAGCCAGGAUGUUGGCUUAGAAGCAGCCAUCAUUUAAAGAAAGCGUAAUAGCUCACUGGUCGAGUCGGCCUGCGCGGAAGAUGUAACGGGGCUAAACUGUGCACCGAAGCUGCGGCAGCGACACUUAGGUGUUGUUGGGUAGGGGAGCGUUCUGUAAGCCUGCGAAGGUGGCCUGUGAGGGUUGCUGGAGGUAUCAGAAGUGCGAAUGCUGACAUAAGUAACGAUAAUGCGGGUGAAAAGCCCGCACGCCGGAAGACCAAGGGUUCCUGUCCAACGUUAAUCGGGGCAGGGUGAGUCGACCCCUAAGGCGAGGCCGAAAGGCGUAGUCGAUGGGAAACAGGUUAAUAUUCCUGUACUUGGUGUUACUGCGAAGGGGGGACGGAGAAGGCUAUGUUAGCCGGGCGACGGUUGUCCCGGUUUAAGCAUGUAGGCGGAGGUUCCAGGUAAAUCCGGUACCUUAUUAACGCUGAGGUGUGAUGACGAGGCACUACGGUGCUGAAGUAACAAAUGCCCUGCUUCCAGGAAAAGCCUCUAAGCAUCAGGUAACAUUGAAUCGUACCCCAAACCGACACAGGUGGUCAGGUAGAGAAUACCAAGGCGCUUGAGAGAACUCGGGUGAAGGAACUAGGCAAAAUGGUGCCGUAACUUCGGGAGAAGGCACGCUGAUAUGUAGGUGAAGCCCCUGCGGGUGGAGCUGAAAUCAGUCGAAGAUACCAGCUGGCUGCAACUGUUUAUUAAAAACACAGCACUGUGCAAACACGAAAGUGGACGUAUACGGUGUGACGCCUGCCCGGUGCCGGAAGGUUAAUUGAUGGGGUUAUCCGUAAGGAGAAGCUCUUGAUCGAAGCCCCGGUAAACGGCGGCCGUAACUAUAACGGUCCUAAGGUAGCGAAAUUCCUUGUCGGGUAAGUUCCGACCUGCACGAAUGGCGUAAUGAUGGCCAGGCUGUCUCCACCCGAGACUCAGUGAAAUUGAACUCGCUGUGAAGAUGCAGUGUACCCGCGGCAAGACGGAAAGACCCCGUGAACCUUUACUAUAGCUUGACACUGAACAUUGAGCCUUGAUGUGUAGGAUAGGUGGGAGGCUUUGAAGCGUGGACGCCAGUCUGCGUGGAGCCAACCUUGAAAUACCACCCUUUAAUGUUUGAUGUUCUAACGUUGGCCCCUUAUCGGGGUUGCGGACAGUGUCUGGUGGGUAGUUUGACUGGGGCGGUCUCCUCCCAAAGAGUAACGGAGGAGCACGAAGGUUAGCUAAUCCUGGUCGGACAUCAGGAGGUUAGUGCAAUGGCAUAAGCUAGCUUGACUGCGAGCGUGACGGCGCGAGCAGGUGCGAAAGCAGGUCAUAGUGAUCCGGUGGUUCUGAAUGGAAGGGCCAUCGCUCAACGGAUAAAAGGUACUCCGGGGAUAACAGGCUGAUACCGCCCAAGAGUUCAUAUCGACGGCGGUGUUUGGCACCUCGAUGUCGGCUCAUCACAUCCUGGGGCUGAAGUAGGUCCCAAGGGUAUGGCUGUUCGCCAUUUAAAGUGGUACGCGAGCUGGGUUUAGAACGUCGUGAGACAGUUCGGUCCCUAUCUGCCGUGGGCGCUGGAGAAUUGAGGGGGGCUGCUCCUAGUACGAGAGGACCGGAGUGGACGCAUCACUGGUGUUCGGGUUGUCAUGCCAAUGGCAUUGCCCGGUAGCUAAAUGCGGAAGAGAUAAGUGCUGAAAGCAUCUAAGCACGAAACUUGCCCCGAGAUGAGUUCUCCCUGAGACUUUAAGUCUCCUGAAGGAACGUUAAAGACGAUGACGUUGAUAGGUCGGAUGUGUAAGCGUAGCGAUACGUUGAGCUAACCGAUACUAAUGAACCGUGAGGCUUAACCUUACAACGCCGAAGGUGUUU
rnacentral:rRNA from 1 species